rnacentral:tmRNA from 1 species
GGGGCCGAUUUUGGAUUUGACAGCAAGAGAAAUUGUUAUGUAAGCAUGCCGAGUAUUGUGAAUGAUCUCGUAAAAAACAAUUCUCAAGUCUAUAAACGACAACAACAACUACGCGCUUGCAGCUUAAUCACUAGGUGAUUACGCCUAAUCCCGCUGAUAAGAUCGGCCGGACAAGCUGCCCAGCUAGGGUUACCCGUUUAGCGGCCUUAGUAAUUGGGUAUCGUUGGUCUAAACUAAGUGAUGUAAGGUCUUGAUGCAUCAACGAAAAUUUAAAAGACUAAGUGGUAAGUGGGGUGUUUGUGCUCAGCUUACUAUCGAAAAUCAAUUGCAAAAUAAGCAUGUAGAAAGCCUAAUGGUUCCUUGUUUGGACGAGGGUUCGAAACCCUCCGGCUCCACCU